GACGCGCGAGCCGCUCCGGGGCCGGGGGCGGCGCCACCUGAUUGGAGCAGGCGCGGGCAGAGCCGCAGCGCGGCCGCCGAUUGGCCGCGCGGGGUCAGGCGCUGUGGGCCGAGUGGACGCCCGUGACCCGAGGGCUCACUCCUCACACUUGCCAAAAGGUGGAGCCAACCCAGCUGUUCACCAGUAGAUGCACUGCUGCCCUGCCUGUGCUGUGCUCAUGAAUGGCCAACUGGCAACCACGAGGAGUGAAGUGCUACCUGAAUGAAAUGGGCUCGUGACCACCCCAAGCAGGCUGUGGUGUCUCCCGGCACUUGGGAGGCAGAGACAAGUGGAUCUCUGUGAGUUUGAGGCCAGCCUGGUCUACAGAGCAAGUUCCAGGACACCGAAGACUACACAAAAGAAAAGAAAAUGUUUUAGGGAAAAUGCCGGCUACACAAUAUUGCGAAUGUACCAGAUGCAUUGGAUUGCACACUUUGGGCUGCUUUUACAUUUGAUGUUGUGAAAUUCUACUUUGCUGAGCAUGGAAAUAUGUGGAAUAAACAAAGCUACCUUUCACAGUCA